rnacentral:lncRNA from 1 species
UUUUUUUUUUUUUUUUUUUUUGGUCCCACCUUUCAGAAUCCAGUUCCAGAUUCUAGACUUGAGGGUUCUGGGCUGUCGGUCUGUAGAAGCGAAGGAGAGAAGGGUGAGUGGCUUGGCUAUGGGAAGCAUGAUGGGGGCGGUUGCAGUGCUAUUUUUAAAAAACGGCUUUCAGCAGGGAAGCCUUUAGCCAUGUUAGUCUUGCUCCCCUCAUGGUUUUGCAGACUCAAAUCCAGGCCAAGUGUAUGGCUGUCUGAGGUAUUGGAACAGAAGGAGGUCCAUUCCUGUUGGUGACAACACCGUGGCCCUGUUCUGGGAUGAGCGAGGUGUAAAGCAUCCCCACCCAUGCAACUCAUCUUCAGGAACCAGUAGCUUUAACCAAGAGAACAAGAAACUCAAUGAGCAGCAGCCUCAACAACUGGCUCUUUCUGUAAGGAGAGGGGAGUCGGGAAGGACAGUGUCCCAAAGGGAAGUGGAGGCGCCAUCAAUCUGGCCUAGACAGCAGGUUUCCCCCAAGAAAGAGCAGCUGAGUCCUUGCAUCUUGUGGCAGCUGGUGUGCCCAGCACUGAGUCUGUAGGAGCUGAAGCCAGCCCGGACCCUUCUCAUGGGCAGUGCCCACCUGUGCUGAAGUCCUGCAGCGGUGGCGGUGUGAGGUGAGUAAUGGAGUCCAGGGCAGGGAGUUAGGGAUCUCCAAAUCCAGGCAAAUGCUGCUUUU